UGGCAAGGUCUGUUUGACAUGUGCCACUGUCAUAGCAGAAAUGAUGCAAGAUACCCUUGUAAACUCAUGAAACAUUUCACAGAUACAGCAUUCAUUCUGAAGUAACUUGUAAUUUGAAGAUACAGGGACACAUAAAGAAAAUGCUUGAUCUAAGUUCAUUUUCAGGAAACAGAUUUCAGAACAAUAACCUAUGACAUUUUGGCUUCAAAAAUAAAAAGGCUUUCAGAAAAUCCAUUCUUACAGUAUGAUAUCAAACUAUGCAUGUAGGCCACUGGUGCAAAAACAACCAUAUAAGUGUUUCCCCUCAUAUGAACCCCGUAUUAACUCCUUUGAACAAGUUCUUAAUUGGAUAAUUUUUCAGCUACAUAAGGAAGAUACCAAACACGAAACUUAAAGCAUACCUGCUCUUGAGAUAA
rnacentral:misc_RNA from 1 species